GAGAUAUGAUGAGUAAUAUUUGGUCCGUGUUUCUGAUUUAACUGUGACUAAUUACCAUUUUAGCACACUCUGAUCUC
rfam:Jatropha curcas cultivar GZQX0401 scaffold26_111, whole genome shotgun sequence.